UACAGAGGGUGCGAGCGUUAACCGGAAUUACUGGGCGUAAAGCGUGCGUAGACGGUCAAGUAAGUCGGGUGUGAAAGCCCCGGGCUCAACCUGGGAAUUGCAUUCGAGACUGCGUGGCUAGGGUGCGGAAGAGGGAAGCGGAAUUUCCGGUGUAGCGGUGAAAUGCGUAGAUAUCGGAAGGAACACCAGUGGCGAAAGCGGCUUCCUGGUCCAGCACCGACGUUCAGGCACGAAAGCGUGGGGAGCAAACAGG
rnacentral:rRNA from 1 species